GACGGACGCUGGCGGCGUGCUUAACACAUGCAAGUCGAACGGAAAGGCCCCAGCUUGCUGGGUACUCGAGUGGCGAACGGGUGAGUAACACGUGGGUGAUCUGCCCUGCACUCUGGGAUAAGCCUGGGAAACUGGGUCUAAUACCGGAUAGGACCGUGCUUUAGUGUGUGCGGUGGAAAGUUUUUCGGUGCAGGAUGAGCCCGCGGCCUAUCAGCUUGUUGGUGGGGUAAUGGCCUACCAAGGCGGCGACGGGUAGCCGGCCUGAGAGGGUGUACGGCCACAUUGGGACUGAGACACGGCCCAGACUCCUACGGGAGGCAGCAGUGGGGAAUAUUGCACAAUGGGCGCAAGCCUGAUGCAGCGACGCCGCGUGGGGGAUGACGGCCUUCGGGUUGUAAACCCCUUUCGGCAGGGACGAAGCUUUUGUGACGGUACCUGCAUAAGAAGCACCGGCUAACUACGUG
rnacentral:rRNA from 1 species